AGAAAAACAAAUUCUGUUAUGUAUAAACUAAACUCUUAAACAGGAAUGGAAGACUGUCCAGAUCCAGAACUUCCAGAUAUAGGGCGUGACACAGAAGGUUUCAGUUGGGUGUCAGGAUAAUCCAUAUGGAUUUAAUGGUGCGGUGGUGUAUGGAGAUGAAACCUAUGGCAUGACCUCAAGAUGUAUCCCAGAUAUGACUGGCUACAAUCAAUACCUAACUAGGUAGGUCUAUAAAAUUAAUUGAAAGAAAUGAAUCUUAUGCAGGCUACUCUACUAA
rnacentral:lncRNA from 1 species